rnacentral:SRP_RNA from 1 species
GCCUGUGGCACCAGCUACUCGGGAGGCUGAGGUGGGAGGAUGGCUUGAUCCCUGGAAUGCUGGGCUGUAGUGUGCUAUGCGAUUCUGGUGUCUGCACUAAGUUUGGCAUCAAUAUCAUGACCUUUGGGAAUGGAAGACCCCCAGGUGGCCUAAUGAGGGCUGAACUGGCCCAGGUUGGAAAUGGAGCAGGUCAAAAUUUCUGUGCCGAUGAGUAGUGGGAAGGUGCCUAUGAAUAGCCACUGCACUCCAGCCUGGGCAACAUAACAAGACCCUGUCUCU